UCCUUCAUGAAAGCUUCUCUCAAAGCUUCCAUCACCCUCUCAAACUUAACCUUAAAUUUCAUGCUUUUACACACCUUGUUAUAAGGCUUUUCACGCUCUUUCACUCUCUCACCUUAAAACCAUUAAAAAAAGUCUUACUCCCAUAAUUUCUCUCACUAGUUAGGUGUUUUAGAGAGAGAGAAAUAGAGACUUUUCAUGAUAACUUGAGUAUUCUUGAGAAGGAAUUCAACUACAAAUCCACCAAGGUUCCAGCAAGACCUCACAUCUUCAUUUGGAGUAAUAGUCGAAGUUGGAGUCGAGCAAAGAUUCAACAAAUACCGCGAGAAACUUUCAAGCUAAGAGGGGUUACACUAGCCUGGUUUUCACUGCAAUGAGAAAUUUUCUAAACAUUCUCACUGCAACAAGAAUGAAAUCUCUCUGCAGCGAGAAACUCUCGGGUAGUUCCAAAAUCUUGGUGCAAUGCUUUCACUUUGAUAAUGAUUUUGACUACAUUUCGGUCAGAAUUGGGCAAAGUGGUAAACAUAA